rnacentral:rRNA from 1 species
UACAGAGUUUACUUUUUCUAGCGAGUGGCGAACGGGUGAGUAACGCGUGAGGAACCUGCCUCAAAGAGGGGGACAACAGUUGGAAACGACUGCUAAUACCGCAUAAGCCCACAGCUCGGCAUCGAGCAGAGGGAAAAGGAGCAAUCCGCUUUGAGAUAGCCUCGCGUCCGAUUAGCUAGUUGGUGAGGUAACGGCCCACCAAGGCGACGAUCGGUAGCCGGACUGAGAGGUUGAACGGCCACAUUGGGACUGAGACACGGCCCAGACUCCUACGGGAGGCAGCAGUGGGGAAUAUUGCACAAUGGGGGAAACCCUGAUGCAGCGACGCCGCGUGGAGGAAGAUGGUCUUCGGAUUGUAAACUCCUGUUGUUGAGGAAGAUAAUGACGGUACUCAACAAGGAAGUGACGGCUAACUACGUGCCAGCAGCCGCGGUAAAACGUAGGUCACAAGCGUUGUCCGGAAUUACUGGGUGUAAAGGGAGCGCAGGCGGGAAGACAAGUUGGAAGUGAAAUCCAUGGGCUCAACCCAUGAACUGCUUUCAAAACUGUUUUUCUUGAGUAGUGCAGAGGUAGGCGGAAUUCCCAGUGUAGCGGUGGAAUGCGUAGAUAUCGGGAGGAACACCAGUGGCGAAGGCGGCCUACUGGGCACCAACUGACGCUGAGGCUCGAAAGUGUGGGUAGCAAACAGGAUUAGAUACCCUGGUAGUCCACACUGUAAACGAUGAUUACUAGGUGUUGGAGGAUUG